rnacentral:rRNA from 1 species
UCCUACGGGGGGCAGCAGUGAGGAAUAUUGGUCAAUGGUCGGGAGACUGAACCAGCCGAGCCGCGUGAGGGAUGAAGGUACAGAGUAUCGUAAACCUCUUUUGUCAGGGAACAAAGGCGGGGACGUGUCCCCGGAUGAGUGUACCUGAAGAAAAAGCAUCGGCUAACUCCGUGCCAGCAGCCGCGGUAAUACGGAGGAUGCGAGCGUUAUCCGGAUUUAUUGGGUUUAAAGGGUGCGCAGGCGGUCUGUUAAGUCAGCGGUCAAAGCCCGGGGCUCAACCCCGGCCCGCCGUUGAAACUGGCAGU